rnacentral:rRNA from 1 species
AAAUGAAUAGACGGGGGCCCGCACAAGCAGUGGAGUAUGUGGUUUAAUUCGACGAUACGCGAAAAACCUUACCAGGGCUUGACAUCCUACUAACGAGGCAGAGAUGCGUUAGGUGCCCUUCGGGGAAAGUAGAGACAGGUGGUGCAUGGUUGUCGUCAGCUCGUGUCGUGAGAUGUUGGGUUAAGUCCCGCAACGAGCGCAACCCCUACAGUUAGUUGCUACGCAAGAGCACUCUGGCUGGACUGCCGUUGACAAAACGGAGGAAGGUGGGGACGACGUCAAAUCAUCAUGCCCCUUACGUCCUGGGCUACACACGUACUACAAUGGCCGUUAACAACGGGUUACAAUGGCGCGAGCCGGAGUUAAUCCCCAAAAGCGGUCUCAGUUCAGAUUGCAGGCUGAAACUCGCCUGCAUGAAGGCGGAAUUGCUAGUAAUCGCGAAUCAGCAUGUCGCGGUGAAUACGUUCCCGGGCCUUGUACACACCGCCCGU